CCGGGAUGAUGCUUCGGACUACGAAGAAUUUCAGCAACGCGACUUUUUGGGAUCGCCCAAAAAGACAUCAUCCAAAGUAAUGUCCCCAUUCCCGAAGCACAUCGGACGUCGAAAGCACGUUCCGAGGGACGUUCCAGCCAAAACAGUAAGAGAAAAGUGGAAGGAAGCAACGCGAGAGCAUGCAUGGCAAAAGUCUCCGGACCAGCGUGGCGUACCCGCAUAUAAUAAUUGUACGUGUUCAAUAA